CUGCAUCCUCCUCUCCAUCUCCACAUCCUGCAUCUCCCUCAAUUUCUACGGUGUACACCUCGGAUGUCCCAAACAAAACAAAAGGACAAGGAAAGGAAAAAGAAGAAGUUAAAGUCAAGUGGAAACCCUGCUCAACAUGGUAUGUAGUAACAACUUUGUUGGACGGGAACAGACAUUCAUAUUGUUGAUAAAUAGUUAUCACCUCAAUUUGAAUUCAUGUAUUUGGACUAAAGUAAAUUGGGAGCUUUUAGCUAUCGAGCUCCUCUUCUGUGAGGAGCUUGAUAGCUGUCCACCUCCAAAGUCCAUUAUGAGUUUUGGAGGUGGACAUGGUCAACACUUUUAAGAGUAGGCAUAAGACUUUACUUCUUUAUAGAGCUUAUAGUUAGGGCUGGUUCAGCUCAGCCCUUAGUUAUGCUGUAAUAGGACCAGACUGCUGGGGGUUAGUGUCCCCCCCCCUCUCUGUCUGUCUCUUUCAGGGUUAUGCAGGCUCAGUAUUGGUUGAAGAUGCAGUCACGUCUCCUUUUACUGAAAACUCUCCCCCUCUCCCUCACCAUCUGUAAACAUACAUGUCUCAGUAAUGCAGUUCAUGCAUGUUACUAACUAGACUUCUUCCCUGGAGUUUCUGUGCUCUCUCAUCCAGCAGGUUCCGAUGGAUCGUGGCUGCUGCUGUGGUCCUGCUUGACAUCUACUACAUAUAUUAUUACUCUCUGACUUGAUUUAUAUUACAAUGAAGGUGUAUAAAGCAUGACAUGAAUAUAGAAGAUAUUUCAUCCUAAAAAAUUGUCAUAUGUCACAACCUAAAUUAUCCUAUUUUGUGUGUGCUUGUCGUUGUUUUUUGUUAUGUUUUUCUCCUGACAGUGGCAAAGUGUGGGAUGACACAUGGGAACCUGCGCAGUUUUACACACAGUAAACCAGGCACCACAGGUCGCAGAGAUCGCACAGUUCACAGUUUGUAGUUCAGCAUAAAAGUUCAAAAUAAAAUAUUUACUAUACA